GGUUGCGAUCAUACCAGCACUAAUGCACCGGAUCCCAUCAGAACUCCGCAGUUAAGCGUGCUUGGGCGAGAGUAGUACUAGGAUGGGUGACCCCCUGGGAAGUCCUCAUGUUGCAACCCCGUUUUUUUCGUUUUUUUGGUUUAUUUUAUUUACUAGUCGCUGUAUCUUUGUCGUAGCAUGCGAGCGGCUGAUUUUGUGAAAGGAAGGCUUUGACGAAGGCGCGUGACGUAGGCCACACAUGAGGGCAUAUGUGCGAAUGGGAUCAAGGCGUGGAAAGGUAUAAAGGAAUAAGAAGAAGGUAUGUUUUCGGUUGCGAUCAUACCAGCACUAAUGCACCGGAUCCCAUCAGAACUCCGCAGUUAAGCGUGCUUGGGCGAGAGUAGUACUAGGAUAGGUGACCCCCUGGGAAGUCCUCGUGUUACAACCC
rnacentral:lncRNA from 1 species